UACGGGGGGUGCAAGCGCUAUCCGGAAUCACUGGGUUUAACGGGUGCGUAGGCGGCUAAAUAAGUCAGAGGUGAAAGCUUGCGACUUAACUGCGAAAAUGCCUUUGAUACUGUAUAGCUUGAAAGAAGCUGAGGUCAGCAGAAUGUGGCAUGAAGCGGUGAAAUGCAUAGAUAUGCCAAAGAAUACCAAUUGCGAGGAAAGCUGGCUGGGCUUACUCUGACGCUGAGUCACGAUAGCGUGGGUAUCGAAGAGG
rnacentral:rRNA from 1 species